UACGUAGGGUGCAAGCGUUGUCCGGAAUUAUUGGGCGUAAAGAGCUCGUAGGCGGUCUGUUGCGUCGGCUGUGAAAACCCGAGGCUCAACCUCGGGCCUGCAGCCGAUACGGGCAGACUAGAGUUCGGCAGGGGAGACUGGAAUUCCUGGUGUAGCGGUGAAAUGCGCAGAUAUCAGGAGGAACACCAACAGCGAAGGCAGAUCUCUGGGACGUAACUGACGCUGAGACGCGAAAGCGUGGGGAGCAAACAGG
rnacentral:rRNA from 1 species